AAUUUUGGAAAAUGGGGGCAACCCUGAUCCAGCCAUCCCGCGUGUGCGCUGAAGGACNNNUGGAANUCAAGCACGUUUGGCAGNGACNAAUAGGCACUGGCUAAUACCUGGAGCUGCUGACGGUACCUGCAGAAUAAGCACCGGCUCACUAGCAUCCAGCAGCCGCGGUAAUACAUAGGGUGCAAGCGUUAAUCGGAUUUACCGGGCGUAAAGCGUGCGCAGGCGGUUCGGAAAGAAGGAUGUGAAAUCCCAGGGCUUAACCUUGGAACUGCAUUCUUAACUGCCGGGCUAGAGUAUGUCAGAGGGGGGUAGAAUUCCGCGUGUAGCAGUGAAAUGCGUAGAGAUGCGGAGGAAUACCGAUGGCGAAGGCGGCCCCCUGGGAUAAUACUGACGCUCAUGCACGAAAGCGUGGGGAGCAAAC
rnacentral:rRNA from 1 species